UACGAAGGGGGCUAGCGUUGCUCGGAAUUACUGGGCGUAAAGGGAGCGUAGGCGGACAGUUAAGUCAGUGGUGAAAGCCCAGGGCUCAACCCUGGAAUUGCCUUUGAUACUGACUGUCUUGAGUAUGGGAGAGGUAUGCGGAACUCCGAGUGUAGAGGUGAAAUUCGUAGAUAUUCGCAAGAACACCAGUGGCGAAGGCGGCUCACUGGCCCGGUACUGACGCUGAGGUGCGAAAGCGUGGGGAGCGAACAGG
rnacentral:rRNA from 1 species